rnacentral:lncRNA from 1 species
CUCCUACCCAUACCACUACCCCUACUAUCAUCACUACCCUUAUUACCAGCAUUACUAAACAAACCCUCGCCCUAAAAUCACCUUUUUUCCAACCCCAUCCCACCCUUCCACUGACUUCCUACUAGACACCCCCUACCCUACCCUACCCAACACCACCUUCUCCCUUCUGUUUCUUUCUUUUUUUUUUUUUUUUGCUCCGCUCCAUUCUAGACCCUGACCCCUCGCCCCCCCCUCCUAAGCAGAGAAGCUGCCACUUCUCCUGUCACGAUCACUGCCUCCACCAUCAUGGCAGCCAGCAGCAGCAGCAGCAGUAGUAGUAGAUAUUCGUACCGCUCUCUUUAUUUUCUGACCUUCCUCCACGCCGCCUACCACCCGACCCCUGACCUCUGUACCCUUUUCCCUAUUGACCUCUCCCCCUAAAGCAAAUUUAUCAAGUAGACCAAUAUGAUGCAAUUCCACAAUUUAGACUAACAGAACUACGAACCCUGUACUUAGUCCAUAUUGCCAUUAUUUUCGUCCCAUCUUACCAGUUCUACACUGUCGGUUUGAAACAAAGCUACCAUCUCUAUACGGCGACGUUGGACGAAAUUAUUUUUUCAAGCUUUCGACAUAAAAGAAAUUUUAAAAGGCAAAAACGAUAAAAAAAACAGAAAA